UACGGGGGGGGUAAGCGUUGUUCGGAAUUACUGGGCGUAAAGGGCUCGUAGGCGGCCAACUAAGUCAUACGUGAAAUCCCUCAGCUUAACUGGGGAACUGCGUGUGAUACUGGAUGGCUUGAAUCCGGGAGAGGGAUGCAGAAUUCCAGGUGUAGCGGUGAAAUGCGUAGAUAUCUGGAGGAAUACCGGUGGCGAAGGCGGCAUCCUGGACCGGCAUUGACGCUGAGGAGCGAAAGCUAGGGGAGCAAACGGG
rnacentral:rRNA from 1 species